AGGUCGAGACAGCAGGCGGCUCAAGUGGACAGCCGGGAUGGCAGAGCGUGCGGCGCUGGAGGAGCUGGUGAAACUUCAGGGAGAGCGCGUGCGAGGCCUCAAGCAGCAGAAGGCCAGCGCCGAGCUGAUCGAGGAGGAGGUGGCGAAACUCCUGAAACUGAAGGCACAGCUGGGUCCUGAUGAAAGCAAACAGAAAUUUGUGCUCAAAACCCCCAAGGAAACACUGAUGGGAAAGUAUGGGGAAGACUCCAAGCUUAUCUAUGACCUGAAGGACCAGGGCGGGGAGCUCCUGUCCCUUCGCUAUGACCUCACUGUUCCUUUUGCUCGGUAUUUGGCAAUGAAUAAACUGACCAACAUUAAACGCUACCACAUAGCAAAGGUAUAUCGGCGGGAUAACCCAGCCAUGACCCGUGGCCGAUACCGGGAAUUCUACCAGUGUGUGAGUGUUGGGAAACCGUGGGGCAGGAUGAGUUACUUGGGGCUCUCUCAAGCCAGCAGAAUCUAUUGAGUACUCACGGUGUCCUGAGCAAAUUGGAUGACCCAGAUAAUGCUCUUAGGGUUUCUAUGGUGGUUUUUUUGUUUGUUUUUUGUUUUUUUGAGACGGAGUCUCGCUCUGUUGCCCAAGCUGGAGUGCAGUGGUGCAGUCUUGGCUCACUGCAACCUCUGCCUCCUGGGUUCAAACGAUUCUUCUGCCUCAGCCACCUGAGUAGCUGGGAUUACAGGCGCCUGCCACUAUGCCCGGCUAAUUUUUUGUAUUUUUAGUAGAGACAGGGUUUUACCAUGUUGGCCAGGCUGGUCUCGAACUCCUGGUCUCGUGAUCCGCCUGCCUCGGCCUCCCAAAGUGCUGGGAUUACAGGCGUGAGCCACCGCACCCAGCCUCUUCUAUGGUGGUUUCAUGCAGAUUUCACAAAAUCCUUGUGGUGGGGGAGGAGAAUAAAGUCUCUCCAUUUUACAUAUGAGUAAACUUGAUACCCAGCAGAUGAAGAGAUCAUAGGGAUAAGAAAGGCAAAGUCAGGACUAGAACUCUUGGUCCAGUGCUCUUUAUUUUAAACCACAGUGAUAGGAUCACAGCAGAGAAUAAGGAAAUUAGCUUUGAUACAUCAAAUCAUCCAGACUGAUGCCAGGGCUUCUGGAUGAAUAGGGAAAAUGGCUAAGCACUAAAGCCAUAUAAUCACCCCAUCCAGUAGGAGGAGUUAAGAAGAUGAUGAAGUAGAAAAUGAAGGAAUAGCCCAGUAGAUGGAAAGGAAACCAAAACUGGUGAGAAGCCCAAAGAUGCCGGGGUUUACCUCUGGGCUGAUGAUCAGAAAAUGAAAGAGAAAUUCUAUGCUUGAGUGCAACCAGGCCUUCCUAGAGGACAGAGCUCCCAGAGUCCCCCCUUCAGAAAGGUGAAUCCCUGAAGACCGCUGGCUAACCCUCUCCCUGCAGGAUUUUGACAUUGCUGGGAACUUUGAUCCCAUGAUCCCUGAUGCAGAGUGCCUGAAGAUCAUGUGCGAGAUCCUGAGUUCACUUCAGAUAGGCGACUUCCUGGUCAAGGUCAGAGCUGACAAGGCUGGGAGGGCAAAGUUGGGCCUGGCCUCUCACAAGAGAAGAUCCUUGUGCAGAGGGACCAGUAGCCUAAGUGGCCAUGACUAUUGCAGGUCAUGUAAGAAAAGAGAUUCCCCCCUCACUAUGCAUUGGUUCCUUGCAGGUAAACGAUCGACGCAUUCUAGAUGGGAUGUUUGCUAUCUGUGGUGUUUCUGACAGCAAGUUCCGUACCAUCUGCUCCUCAGUAGACAAGCUGGACAAGGUGUCCUGGGAAGAGGUGAAGAAUGAGAUGGUGGGAGAGAAGGGCCUUGCACCCGAGGUGGCUGACCGCAUUGGGGACUAUGUCCAGCAACAUGGUGGGGUAUCCCUGGUGGAACAGCUGCUCCAGGAUCCUAAACUAUCCCAAAACAAGCAGGCCUUGGAGGGCCUGGGAGACCUGAAGUUGCUCUUUGAGUACCUGACCCUAUUUGGCAUUGAUGACAAAAUCUCCUUUGACCUGAGCCUUGCUCGAGGGCUGGAUUACUACACUGGGGUGAUCUAUGAGGCAGUGCUGCUACAGACCCCAGCCCAGGCAGGGGAAGAGCCCCUGGGUGUGGGCAGUGUGGCUGCUGGAGGACGCUAUGAUGGGCUAGUGGGCAUGUUCGACCCCAAAGGGCGCAAGGUGCCAUGUGUGGGGCUCAGCAUUGGGGUGGAGCGGAUUUUCUCCAUCGUGGAACAGAGACUAGAGGUAGGUCCUAGGAGGUGGGUAGAAGAUAGUCUGAGCAGGUGGUGGCACCUAAGCUAUCUGAUCUCCAAGGGAGCAAGUGGUGCUGCUUUGGGCAGGGAGCAUCUCACAGAAAUGGAGAAAAGAUUAUUGCUCUUUUUCACAGAUUUCUACCCCAUUAUAUGUAAGUUUUAUGGAUCUUUAAUCCAUAAUCUUUCUGCACUCAAUCCUCUGCUCUGGGUCUCUACUUCCUUCAGGGCUGUCACAAACCUGGGCUGGUGUAUCCAAGACUUAGAUCUUCCUCAUGAUACAGAAUACUUAACAUUUUACUGCCUUGUGCCAGGCACUGUGCUUGGUGCUUUUCAUGCAUUAUCAAAAUAUAAUUGUUACUACAGCCCUGUGAGAGUAGCUAGUUUUAUUAAUUGCAUUUUCCAGAUGAGAACACUGAAGCAUUAUAGAUCAAAUAAUUUGCUUAAGGCCAUGAAACUUGUAAGUGGUAGAGUCAGAAUUUGAAUCCAGGCAGUCUGACUCCAAAGUCUUGCCACUAACCACACUGCAAUACUGUCUCUAAAUGGGAAGCAUGUGUCUGAGGCCCUGGGAUCCCUCAGAUGGCUACCGUGACUCUCUAGCACCUAGAGUAACACCAAGGAAGCCUCUUGUAGCCUCAAGCCCUCCUUUGUUGCUGCUGGUCUUAAGUGGCUGGUUGCAUUUCAUCUUCUGGGAAAUGCUCUGGCAACCUCCCCACGGUCCUAUGCCUUUUCUCUAGGGUGGAAACCACCCAUUUCCCAGUUGAGAUCAUUUUUCCAGUAGGCAUCUUACAUUCUAAGAACUAUGAAAAUAGUUUUCCUGAAAAAGACAAGGGAAGCAGCAGCAGCAUUCUCCUUUCCCCACACCCAUAUACACGCCUGUGCCCUGUAACUGAAGUGUGAGAGGCACAGUGUCAUAAAUGGGUAGAUAGUAAGUGGGGACUAAAACUGUCAAGGGUGAUCUAAUUGGGGUGGGCUCAUAGUAGUACUUCUGUGUGAAUGCUUUGGUGGACCCUUAAGGUACUACAUGGACCAGCCUGGGCAACAUGAUGAGACCCUGUCUCUACAGAUUUUAAAAAAAAAAAAUUUUUUUUUUUUUUUUUAAUUAGCUGAGUAUGUUGGUGUGUGCCUGUAGUCAGGAGGCUGAGGUGGGAGGAUCACUUGAGCUUGGGAGGUCGAAGCUGCAGUGAUCACACCACGGCACUUCAGCCUGGAUGACAGAGACCCUGUCUC
rnacentral:sRNA from 1 species